rnacentral:rRNA from 1 species
CAGCACCUCAAGUGGUCAGGAUGAUUAUUGGGCCUAAAGCAUCCGUAGCCGGCUCUGUAAGUUUUCGGUUAAAUCUGUACGCUCAACGUACAGGCUGCCGGGAAUACUGCAGAGCUAGGGAGUGAGAGAGGUAGACGGUACUCGGUAGGAAGGGGUAAAAUCCUUUGAUCUAUUGAUGACCACCUGUGGCGAAGGCGGUCUACCAGAACACGUCCGACGGUGAGGGAUGAAAGCUGGGGGAGCAAACCGGAUUAGAUACCCGUGUAGUCC